CGCUACGCCACGGGAGAGAGCCGCCUCACGGCGGCCGCCGAAGGAGCAACACCUCUCCGCCAAACUCUCAGGCACCCGGGACCGUGGUGGUGAC
rnacentral:ncRNA from 2 species